rnacentral:ribozyme from 1 species
CCAUCACAUAUCUUGUGCCUUGACGUGGCGUGAUGGCUUUAAACAGAACAAGA